rnacentral:tRNA from 1 species
CGGCACGUUGGCCGGCGAGAUCGCGUCUGCGGAACGCGGCGCGUCGUUCGGGCUCGGCGCGUCCCGC